CCUGGCUCAGAUUGAACGCUGGCGGCAUGCCUUACACAUGCAAGUCGAACGGUAACAGGUCUUCGGAUGCUGACGAGUGGCGAACGGGUGAGUAAUACAUCGGAACGUGCCCGAUCGUGGGGGAUAACGGAGCGAAAGCUUUGCUAAUACCGCAUACGAUCUACGGAUGAAAGCAGGGGACCGCAAGGCCUUGCGCGGACGGAGCGGCCGAUGGCAGAUUAGGUAGUUGGUGGGAUAAAAGCUUACCAAGCCGACGAUCUGUAGCUGGUCUGAGAGGACGACCAGCCACACUGGGACUGAGACACGGCCCAGACUCCUACGGGAGGCAGCAGUGGGGAAUUUUGGACAAUGGGCGCAAGCCUGAUCCAGCAAUGCCGCGUGCAGGAUGAAGGCCUUCGGGUUGUAAACUGCUUUUGUACGGAACGAAACGGUGAGCUCUAAUACAGUUUGCUAAUGACGGUACCGUAAGAAUAAGCACCGGCUAACUACGUG
rnacentral:rRNA from 1 species